CACGUAGGGUGCGAGCGUUGUCCGGAAUUAUUGGGCGUAAAGAGCUCGUAGGCGGUGUGUCGCGUCGGCCGUGAAAACCUGCAGCUUAACUGUGGGCUUGCGGUCGAUACGGGCAUCACUGGAGUUCGGCAGGGGAGACUGGAAUUCCUGGUGUAGCGGUGAAAUGCGCAGAUAUCAGGAGGAACACCGGUGGCGAAGGCGGGUCUCUGGGCCUGACCUGACGCUGAGGAGCGAAAGCGUGGGGAGCGAACGG
rnacentral:rRNA from 1 species